GGUACCUUGGCCGAGCGGUCUAAGGCGUCUGAGUCAAGAGAAUAUCUUGUCCGCAUUUAUGUGGAUUUCAUCUGAUCUCGAAAGAGGCGGGAGUUCGAAUCUCCCAGGUACCA